UGUAAAUUUACGGUGAAAAUAAACAGCAAAAUACCGUUUUAAUGUAAAAACAGCAAGUUGCCGUUUUUUACAAUGCAUCAUGGGAAGACUUGCUCACUUCAGUUUGAGUGGUUGAGCAACAACAGUAAGGGCACUGUAAUUUAACGGUUUUAUACCAUAUUUUUUUCUGUGUACACAAGACGCCAUUUUGGAUUAUCUACAUGAGGUACUUACAAGAAAGGAUAAUUGGAUAAUUUGGAUAUUUUCGACGAGGAUCCGACCCUGUGAAUGUCUUGAGAAGAGAAAGAGGGUAACUUUAGCCUAAUUUAGCAAGCUAACGAUAGCUGGAGGACUCAUAUUCACAUCACACACAGGUAAGAAUGUUAAACCUAGAUUUUACAUGAACUUUGAGUGAAGAUUGUACAGAAUCUUUUUUUUUUUCAUGUGGUUACAUGUGUAACUUGCAUAUUUGGUCCAUUUUAUUACAGAUACACCUUUUCAUUUGCAACUCCGGUGCUUCUAAAAAUAACAUUUUAAGAUCGAGUGAGACCUUUGUUAUUUUUACGUUAUUGCAGUUGGUUUAUAUAGAAAUUGACUAGAAUUACGAUCAGAUUUUAUGCUUGGUAACGUUACCUAAAGUAGCAGAGCUUUUAAUCUUUUUUGUGAGUAAGGAGUAACUGCUAUUAUAAUGAAAAUUCUUUACAAUUCAUUUUUGACCAAUAGAUGUCUGCCACCACUGCUAAUCUUGAAAAGAUGGGUAACCUGCCAGUGACUCCUCAUUUGAUUCUGCCUGGUUCAGAUGAUACUUUGGGCCAGUGGAUAAAAAAAUGGAUGAUCAGCAUGGAAGGCAGAGUAAUCUGUGAGGGUGAGCAUGCACACUGGAAUUCCUUCAAAGAUGCUUUGCUGGCAUAAAUCCAGAGAGGGGAACCAAGGCUGUGAGAGGAAAUGUGACGUCAAAAAAAAACUGGCAAGACAGUUCAGAAGAAGACCAUGACUGUAAACCCCAAGGUUUCAAACCUUUUAAAGAAACUAAUGGACUUUGAAUGGGACUUUAUUUAAAAUGCAGCUAGCUUGCACCCCCCUACUUUUGCAACACAGAGGCCUUUUUUUCUUUAUUUGCUGAAGCUCAUUUUGGGGCUAUAAUUUUUUUAUAUUUUAUAUCCAAGACUCAAUUGUAAAGUGGCUAUUUAUUAAUUUUUUCUAUGACAUUCGGUAAGUUGCUUCUUGAUGUACAAUGCUGAAUACAAUCUUAACAUUUCUGGAGAACUUACAAUUUUUGCCUGUUCUUUGGCUUAAUAUUUUCACAAACACAAUGCAGAUUUCAUUUUGUGUUGUUUGAAAAUAAAAAUGUGAAAUAUAA